rnacentral:lncRNA from 1 species
CAUUUUCACCAUAAUUUUUUUUUUCUUACUUUGAAAUCAAAAUAUCUAUAUAUAUAUAUAUAUAUAAAACCUAUAUGAAUUCCCAAUAUUUGUUGUCACGUGACAAAUUCUACUUCACUCUUACUAGCAUGUAACGCUUUUUCUUCUCUUCACCAAAUUUUCAAUAUACAUUUUAACGGUCCCAGUAAUCAAACCAUCAAUUAGUGUAUUUAAUGGUCCACUACCAUUUACAAUUGUAUUGUUUCUGUCUACAAUAAUUCAUUAUGACCAUUUUCUUUCACUCCACUAUAUUUUCAAUUAGUGCAAACGGUUCCACUACCAAACUUUCAUUUAGUAUAUUUAAAUGGUUCCAUUACCAUCUACAAUCCUAACCUCUCUUCUCUAAUUAUUAAUUAUGACCAUUUUUUCUUUCCUCCAUCGGACUUUCAAUUCUACUAGUGUAGAGACCCGCACGAUGCAGCGGGUAGAAAUUGUCAUAGUAAAAAUUUAUAAAUUACCUAAACAAACAAAAAUAGAAUUAUCAUAAUAGAAAUUUGCUACUAAAUAAACAAA